AACGAACGCUGGCGGCAGGCUUAACACAUGCAAGUCGAACGAUUAAGACUCCCUUCGGGGAGUGUAUAAAGUGGCGCACGGGUGAGUAACACGUAAGUAAUCUACCUUCGAGUGGGGAAUAACGUCCGGAAACGGACGCUAAUACCGCAUAAUGCAGCGGCAUCUAAUGAUGACAGUUGUUAAAGAUUUAUCGCUUGAAGAGGAGCUUGCGGCAGAUUAGCUAGUUGGUAAGGUAAUGGCUUACCAAGGCUACGAUCUGUAACCGGUCUAAGAGGACGGUCGGUCACACUGACACUGAAUAACGGGUCAGACUCCUACGGGAGGCAGCAGUCGGGAAUUUUGGGCAAUGGGCGAAAGCCUGACCCAGCAACGCCGCGUGAAGGAUGAAGUAUUUCGGUAUGUAAACUUCGAAAGAAUGGGAAGAAUAAAUGACGGUACCAUUUAUAAGCUCCGGCUAACUACGUGCCAGCCGCCGCCGUAA
rnacentral:rRNA from 1 species